AUACGGAGGAUGCAAGCGUUAUCCGGAUUUAUUGGGUUUAAAGGGUGCGUAGGCGGAUGAUUAAGCGUGAGGUGAAAUGCCACUGCUCAACAGUGGAACUGCCUCGCGAACUGGUUGUCUUGAAUGCUCCUGCCGUGGGAGGAAUGUGUGGUGUAGCGGUGAAAUGCAUAGAGAUCACACAGAACACCGAUUGCGAAGGCAUCUCACGAAGGGGUGAUUGACGCUGAGGCACGAAAGCGUGGGGAUCAAACAGGAUUAGAUACCCUGGUAGUCCACGCAGUAAACGAUGAUGGCUAACCGCUGGGCUUAUCAGUUCAGUGGCCAAGCGAAAGCGAUAAGCCAUCCACCUGGGGAGUACGACCGCAAGGUUGAAACUCAAAGGAAUUGGCGGGG
rnacentral:rRNA from 1 species